GUGAGGUAUCCCAUUGUCGGUCGUCGGAUAUUUCUUUUUUCUUUCUUCCAUUUUGAAUUCUUUUCUCCUAAUUAUUCCAAAAUGUUUCUUAUCGGCUCUGAAAUCAGAAUUCCGAUCAUCUUUGCGGCUUGUUUUCGAUACCGAUUUCCGCCCUCCGUGAUUUUUCAAAUCGGUUCGGUUUGCGAGAUCAGGAUUCAGGAGCAGCAAUGUCUUGCAAUGCGUGCAAAUUCUGCACGGCGCUGGGUGCAUUGGUUUCGAUUAUGAUCCUCUAUGUUCUAGGUAUAGUCGAUCUCUCCUAUUACGCUCUGCUCGUCGUCAACUAUGGUCCGCCUCUCUUAGUUCUACGGACCUAAUUCUUCCAAUUUCUUAAGAGUACGAACUUAAGAUUAGCUUCUACAUUUGCUUUUUUUUCUUCAUUUGUUUCUGCUGAGACGAAUUUAUUAGCUUGUAGAAUAGCGUUAUGCAGAGAAUAGAGUAUCUCUGGGAUUCUUCUUUUCGGUUUGCCAGAAUAACACAAAAGAGAAUGAACACUUUGCCUAAUUCUGAAGUUGGAAUGAUGUGUUGUGGUAAUAUUUGUAUGUUCAUCUUUAGAAUAGCAAAUGUAUAUUUCAUAAAGCUUUAAACCUUCAAUUUACCUAUCUGUUUAUGUAGUUGGUGAUGCUAUUCUGUUGCUACUUUUCUGUUGUUCUAACAAAUCCUAGGUGUGUUCCACCGCCCCGUUGCCAUCACUGUUUUGUUUGUGGAAGGUGUGUACUGAAACUGGACCAUCAUUGUGUGUUGGUCGUCAAUCGUGUUGGAGCAAAGAACUAUCAGUACUUCCUGCUAUAUUUUUCUUGAAUUUACCAUUUGCACCGAGUGUUAUGAGAUUUCUGAUAUUGCACGUAUCACUGGUAGCAGUCAAUACCACCAGAAUUGAGGUAAGGCCUUCUAGAAGUAGUAUUUUGUUUGCUUUGCUUUUAAACAUUUAACAGGGGCUGAAUUGGUCUAUUGGAUAUUUGAUUCACCAUUGCUAGGUGUCACGGUCAUGCUUGUCCAAGGCAUAUUUGCCCUUGGUUGCAUGGCAAACCCCUUGUAUUGUACCACUUUAUUGCUUUCCUUCACCGUAUUCAUGAUGUAUAGUUUCCUUAUUGUAUUUUCUAAGUGUAUGACGUUUCGAAAAAAAAUUAUCCACACCUGGUAGAUCAGAAAUGCCUUAGAAUGUACUAUAGGGGAUGUGAUUAGUCGUCAAUUCUUCCUACCCGGAAUUAUAUAGUAUCUAAAUUGUUGUGUUGCCUUCUUUGCUUAUAUCCUAUAACAGUGCUUUCUUCAUUUCUCUCAAUCUUGCUUUUAAACUCUCAUUCUAAAAUCUCUUUUUUGUUUUCUAAAACCUUUUUAAAACGGGACCAGAGGCUUGAGUAUACGUCACCCGACCAAAGACGACACGAUUUCGAGUUGGUUGACUCACUCAGUGGUGAGAGUAAGUGUCGCAUAACCGCUUGCAAGCAUCUUGUAAGAAUGCGAUUGUGACACCAAGCAUAUGAGAAGAAAACCACUAAAGCAUAUGAGAAGAAAACCACUAAAAAAUGGCACCAUGGCCUUGGUCACCGAAAAUUUUUGAGCUGGUAUCUUCUUCACAACUCACUGGCCUCUUCCUUGCUGACAUUCACUUAUUCACUUAUUGAUGGUAGAUCUCUCUGUUGGUAGCUAGACGCUAAUUUUACCAUAUUGAUGUCCAUAUUUAGUUACAAGCUACCCAAGUUUGUAGAGGCUGUUACUCUCUCACCAGCGUUGCUUCCUCUAGUACUUACUCUACUGCUCUCAGCAGAUCAAACUCCCCCUAUUUCUCAUCUCUUGCAAUAUGCUGGAGUUCUUUUGCCAGUGAUGCUAAAUGAAUUCAUGAUUCAGGUGUUCAGAAUGGAUUAGAAGUACUGGUUUAUCACUGCAGCUUCUCAAGAUGACCUAAAGCAGAAGCAUAAUCUCCAAGGCAUCGAAUAUCCAAUAAGUGAGUCAGUUAAGGAUGGCCAGGGCGGCGGCUGGCUCCCUCCAUGUGCAUGUGAAGGGAGGAAAGACAGAACUGGCGUCAAUAAGUUGGAGCUUGAAAAACAAAAUCUCCAAAAUUUCUGACCAUUAUUAAACGAUGAACUUGUUGAGAAUUGUUGAGAGUGAGUCUCAAAUUGGCUAAUUUAGGGAAUGAUCAUGAAUUUGAAUUUAUAAGUAAAAGAAUAUAUCUCCAUUGGCAUGAAGUCUUUUUGGGUAAGUUCAAAGCAAACCCACGAGACUUUAUGCUCAAAUGGAAUAAUAUCAUAUCAUUGUGGAGAGGUGUGAUUCAUAAUACAGAUGUCAAUUUUUUCUUGAGA